UACGAAGGGGGCUAGCGUUGCUCGGAAUUACUGGGCGUAAAGCGCACGUAGGCGGCUUGUUAAGUCGGAGGUGAAAUCCUGGAGCUCAACUCCAGAACUGCCUUCGAUACUGGCGAGCUCGAGUCCGGGAGAGGUGAGUGGAACUGCGAGUGUAGAGGUGAAAUUCGUAGAUAUUCGCAAGAACACCAGUGGCGAAGGCGGCUCACUGGCCCGGUACUGACGCUGAGACGCGAAAGCGUGGGGAGCAAACAGG
rnacentral:rRNA from 1 species